rnacentral:rRNA from 1 species
GUCCACGCCCGUAAACGAUGGGCACUAGAUGCCGGGCCUAUAGACGGGUUCGGUGUCGCAGCUAACGCAUUAAGUGCCCCGCCUGGGGAGUACGGCCGCAAGGCUGAAACUCAAAGGAAUUGACGGGGGCCCGCACAAGCGGUGGAGCAUGUGGUUUAAUUCGAAGCAACGCGAAGAACCUUACCCUGGGCUUGACAUACUGGUGAAACCCCGUGGAAACACGGGGCCUCCUUCGGGACACCAGUACAGGUGCUGCAUGGCUGUCGU